rnacentral:misc_RNA from 1 species
UAACGCGAAGAACCUUACCUACACUUGACAUCCCUUGCAUUACUCUUAAUCGAGGAAAUCCCUUCGGGGACAAGGUGACAGGUGGUGCAUGGUUGUCGUCAGCUCGUGUCGUGAGAUGUUGGGUUAAGUCCCGCAACGAGCGCAACCCUUGUCGUUAGUUACUACCAUUAAGUUGAGGACUCUAGCGAGACUGCCUGGGUUAACCAGGAGGAAGGUGGGGAUGACGUCAAAUCAUCAUGCCCCUUAUGUGUAGGGCUACACACGUGCUACAAUGGCUGGUACAGAGAGAUGCAAUACCGCGAGGUGGAGCCAAACUUAAAAACCAGUCUCAGUUCGGAUUGUAGGCUGAAACUCGCCUACAUGAAGCUGGAGUUACUAGUAAUCGCGAAUCAGAAUGUCGCGGUGAAUACGUUCCCGGGUCUUGUACACACCGA